GGCCUAUCAGCUUGUUGGUGGGGUAAUGGCCUACCAAGGCGACGACGGGUAGCCGGCCUGAGAGGGUGACCGGCCACACUGGGACUGAGGAUACGGCCCAGACUCCUACGGGAGGCAGCAGUGGGGAAUAUUGCACAAUGGGCGCAAGCCUGAUGCAGCGACGCCGCGUGAGGGAUGACGGCCUUCGGGUUGUAAACCUCUUUCAAUAGGGACGAAGCGUGAGUGACGGUACCUAUAGAAGAAGCACCGGCCAACUACGUGCCAGCAGCCGCGGUAAUACGUAGGGUGCGAGCGUUGUCCGGAAUUACUGGGCGUAAAGAGCUCGUAGGUGGUUUGUCGCGUUGUCCGUGAAAACUCACAGCUUAACUGUGGGCGUGCGGGCGAUACGGGCAGACUAGAGUACUGCAGGGGAGACUGGAAUUCCUGGUGUAGCGGUGGAAUGCGCAGAUAUCAGGAGGAACACCGGUGGCGAAGGCGGGUCCCUGGGCAGUAACUGACGCUGAGGAGCGAAAGCGUGGGGAGCGAACAGGAUUAGAUACCCUGGUAGUCCACGUCGUAAACGGUGGGUACUAGGUGUGGGUUCCUUCCUUGGGAUCCGUGCCGUAGCUAACGCAUUAAGUACCCCGCCUGGGGAGUACGG
rnacentral:rRNA from 1 species